rnacentral:rRNA from 1 species
AUUGAACGCUGGCGGCAGGCCUAACACAUGCAAGUCGAGCGGUAGCACAGAAGAGCUUGCUCUUUGGGUGACGAGCGGCGGACGGGUGAGUAAUGUCUGGGAAACUGCCUGAUGGAGGGGGAUAACUACUGGAAACGGUAGCUAAUACCGCAUAACCUCGCAAGAGCAAAGAGGGGGACCUUAGGGCCUCUCGCCAUCAGAUGUGCCCAGAUGGGAUUAGCUAGUAGGUGAGGUAAUGGCUCACCUAGGCGACGAUCCCUAGCUGGUCUGAGAGGAUGACCAGCCACACUGGAACUGAGACACGGUCCAGACUCCUACGGGAGGCAGCAGUGGGGAAUAUUGCACAAUGGGCGCAAGCCUGAUGCAGCCAUGCCGCGUGUGUGAAGAAGGCCUUCGGGUUGUAAAGCACUUUCAGCGGGGAGGAAGGCAGUAAGGUUAAUAACCUURYUGAUUGACGUUACCCGCAGAAGAAGCACCGGCUAACUCCGUGCCAGCAGCCGCGGUAAUACGGAGGGUGCAAGCGUUAAUCGGAAUGACUGGGCGUAAAGCGCACGCAGGCGGUCUGUUAAGUUGGAUGUGAAAUCCCCGGGCUUAACCUGGGAACUGCAUUCAAAACUGACAGGCUAGAGUCUUGUAGAGGGGGGUAGAAUUCCAGGUGUAGCGGUGAAAUGCGUAGAGAUCUGGAGGAAUACCGGUGGCGAAGGCGGCCCCCUGGACAAAGACUGACGCUCAGGUGCGAAAGCGUGGGGAGCAAACAGGAUUAGAUACCCUGGUAGUCCACGCUGUAAACGAUGUCGAUUUGGAGGUUGUGCCCUUGAGGCGUGGCUUCCGGAGCUAACGCGUUAAAUCGACCGCCUGGGGAGUACGGCCGCAAGGUUAAAACUCAAAUGAAUUGACGGGGGCCCGCACAAGCGGUGGAGCAUGUGGUUUAAUUCGAUGCAACGCGAAGAACCUUACCUACUCUUGACAUCCACAGAAUUYRGCAGAGAUGCYUURGUGCCUUCGGGAACUGUGAGACAGGUGCUGCAUGGCUGUCGUCAGCUCGUGUUGUGAAAUGUUGGGUUAAGUCCCGCAACGAGCGCAACCCUUAUCCUUUGUUGCCAGCGAUUCGGUCGGGAACUCAAAGGAGACUGCCGGUGAUAAACCGGAGGAAGGUGGGGAUGACGUCAAGUCAUCAUGGCCCUUACGAGUAGGGCUACACACGUGCUACAAUGGCGUAUACAAAGAGAAGCGACCUCGCGAGAGCAAGCGGACCUCAUAAAGUACGUCGUAGUCCGGAUUGGAGUCUGCAACUCGACUCCAUGAAGUCGGAAUCGCUAGUAAUCGUAGAUCAGAAUGCUACGGUGAAUACGUUCCCGGGCCUUGUACACACCGCCCGUCACACCAUGGGAGUGGGUUGCAAAAGAAGUAGGUAGCUUAACCUUCGGGAGGGCGCUUACCACUUUGUGAUUCAUGACUGGGGUGAAGUCGUAACAAGGUAACCGUAGGGGAACC